GAUGAACGCUGGCGGCGUGCCUAAUACAUGCAAGUCGAGCGAACAGACGAGGAGCUUGCUCCUCUGACGUUAGCGGCGGACGGGUGAGUAACACGUGGAUAACCUACCUAUCAGACUGGGAUAACUUCGGGAAACCGGAGCUAAUACCGGAUAAUAUAUUGAACCGCAUGGUUCAAUAGUGAAAGACGGUUGUGCUGUCACUUAUAGAUGGAUCCGCGCCGCAUUAGCUAGUUGGUAAGGUAACGGCUUACCAAGGCAACGAUGCGUAGCCGACCUGAGAGGGUGAUCGGCCACACUGGAACUUAGACACGGUCCAGACUCCUACGGGAGGCAGCAGUAGGGAAUCUUCCGCAAUGGGCGAAAGCCUGACGGAGCAACGCCGCGUGAGUGAUGAAGGUCUUCGGAUCGUAAAACUCUGUUAUUAGGGAAGAACAAAUGUGUAAGUAACUAUGCACGUCUUGACGGUACCUAAUCAGAAAGCCACGGCUAACUACGUG
rnacentral:rRNA from 1 species